CAAGAAGACAGGAGAAGAAAGAAUACUUAAGAAAAAAAAUUUGACUUGAUACUGCUUAACAAACAGAGCAGGCAUCUGUAAGAUCUUUGAAGAAAAGCUUCAGCCUGAAAUGAACCACGUUCUCCUUCCAGCAGCAGCAGAAGUUAAACACCAGGCAUCCUACAGACCGCAUGCCACAAAACUAAAGAGCAAAACAGAAGCAAUACUGUUUGGAGACGAUAGAGAAGUUGCCCGAAGUCCCUGUUUCAAUGUACGUUCC
rnacentral:lncRNA from 1 species